GCGGUUGUGGCUCAGUGGUAGAGCACUUGCCUAGCAUGUAUGAGGCACUGGGUUCGAUUCUCAGCAUCACA
rnacentral:tRNA from 1 species